UUUUAGCAGGGAAGAAGCGAAAGUGACGGUACCUGCAGAAAAAGCACCGGCUAACUACGUGCCAGCAGCCGCGGUAAUACGUAGGGUGCAAGCGUUAUCCGGAAUUAUUGGGCGUAAAGAGCUCGUAGGCGGUUUGUCGCGUCUGCUGUGAAAACUGGAGGCUCAACCUCCAGCCUGCAGUGGGUACGGGCAGACUAGAGUGCGGUAGGGGAGAUUGGAAUUCCUGGUGUAGCGGUGGAAUGCGCAGAUAUCAGGAGGAACACCGAUGGCGAAGGCAGAUCUCUGGGCCGUAACUGACGCUGAGGAGCGAAAGGGUGGGGAGCAAACAGGCUUAGAUACCCUGGUAGUCCACCCCGUAAACGUUGGGAACUAGUUGUGGGGUCCAUUCCACGGAUUCCGUGACGCAGCUAACGCAUUAAGUUCCCCGCCUGGGGAGUACGGCCGCAAGGCUAAAACUCAAAGGAAUUGACGGGGACCCGCACAAGCGGCGGAGCAUGCGGAUUAAUUCGAUGCAACGCGAAGAACCUUACCAAGGCUUGACAUAUACGAGAACGGGCCAGAAAUGGUCAACUCUUUGGACACUCGUAAACAGGUGGUGCAUGGUUGUCGUCAGCUCGUGUCGUGAGAUGUUGGGUUAAGUCCCGCAACGAGCGCAACCCUCGUUCUAUGUUGCCAGCACGUAAUGGUGGGAACUCAUGGGAUACUGCCGGGGUCAACUCGGAGGAAGGUGGGGAUGACGUCAAAUCAUCAUGCCCCUUAUGUCUUGGGCUUCACGCAUGCUACAAUGGCCGGUACAAAGGGCUGCAAUACCGUAAGGUGGAGCGAAUCCCAAAAAGCCGGUCCCAGUUCGGAUUGAGGUCUGCAACUCGACCUCAUGAAGUCGGAGUCGCUAGUAAUCGCAGAUCAGCAACGCUGCGGUGAAUACGUUCCCGGGUCUUGUACACACCGCCCGUCAAGUCAUGAAAGUCGGUAACACCUG
rnacentral:rRNA from 1 species